rnacentral:lncRNA from 1 species
GAGCAUGAGGGGGCAGCCAAGGGGCUGGGCAUCACAGAAGCCCUGACAUUUGCUGGGCUCCUACCCUGUGUCACAUAUUAUAUCAAGAACUUUAGGAGCUAAGAUAUUCUCUCACGAUGGAAGAGGUUAGUCCCAGUCCCGUUUGCCUGUGGACAUCUUGCAUCAUCCUCUGAACAAUCUUUCCCUUCCUUCCUCUUCUUUCCAGUUCUCGUCCCACCCUCUUCCCUCUCUUCUUUUCUUUUUUUUUUUCUCCCCUCAAGCCCAAGACUUUCCUGUCAUGCCAGGCAAUGAUUCAGCCACUUCAGUUCUGGGUGGAUGGAUAGGCAGGGCUUAAAGCAGGCAACCCUCAUGCUGUCAAAGCCAAAAAGUAGAGGAAUUAUAAAAGCCUCCACCAGGGGUUGCCUAAGCUCUGGUGUUUUGCCCCCACUACUUUAAAGGCGAUUCGUUUAAAACAAAACAAAACAAAACGAAAAACAACAACUUACUUUGUAAAGCAUAAGCUUAAAAUAAGAAAAACAGAAGUGCCUAAUCAGAUCUUUGGAAGUAUUGCAUUGCACUGUCACUGAGUGAUAUAUGACUGGCUGUCUUUCUGUUUGGACUGCAUUCAUCUGAAUGGAGUGGGUACAUUGGCUACCGCCUUUUCUCCUGGUUUUCGCUGUUUCUCUUUGAUCUAGAAGCGAUUUAUUCUUACUCCUCCAGAUCUCUUUAUAAAGAGCCACAGGGAAGGGAAACAAUGAUGGCUGUUUGGGAAUAAAGGAGGGCUCUCACAGUUGAAGUUUUCUCCAUCUAGGCUUGGGUAAGGAGAAGGGCUUCUGGUCCCUCAGGCCUGUCAGUCAUAUACCUGGGACCUGUCCCAUGGUCAUACAGACCAGACCCUGCACACCUGCAGUCUCAGGUUCUGACAAGCAGGUAUCUUGCAAAGCGGAGCCCACAGCUGGAAUUCAAGGCAAAGCCCAUCCCCUCUUGCCAGCAAGGCAGGAGUGUCCCUUCUGAAGUAAAAGCCAGAGGACAAGAUGGACUGGGAAACACUGCAAAGACAUUGCUCCUCGGCCUUUGGUGACAUUCCUCCAAGGUCCCCUCUCACAGGUGUGUUAUGAGACAUACCUCAGGCAUGAGUGGACGCAUCAACAAAAGGAAUAGCUAAACACAGCCUGAAAUAGGAUGCCUUCAAACAUGAGACUAAUUAUUAAAAGAAUUUCAAUUUUGUCUUUACCAAGACAUGAGUUCCUUAUGUACUGCAUGCUGUCUUCUGCUUUUUAUUUGAAGAAAUGUGGCAUUUGGGAAGCAGCAGAUGUCCCCCCUGUGGAAUCAAUGUGAAAUGAUAUUUUUGUAACAUCAUUAAAAAGUCUAUCAAGGCUGAGGCAGGAGAAUCGCUUGAACCCGGGAGGCAGAGGUUGCAGUGAACCGAGAUUGCACCACUGAACUCCAGCCUGGGCAACAACAGCGAAACUCUGUCUCAAAGAAAAGAAAAAAAAAAAAAGUAUGAACUCUGGAAUCAAGACAGGCCUGAUUUCAACCCUAGCUCCUCUGUGACCCUGAGGCACUGCUAAACUUCCCUGGGCCCCAUCAGGAAACGUGAAUCCCACAAACAGCCAGCAGAGGGACCCACUCCCAGCCUCCAGAAAGUACUCAAUCAACUGGGCCUUUGUGAAGCAGGUUCUGCCUGCCUGGCCAGAGACUAGCUUGUGGAGUUCCAGAUCCCAGCCUUCUUAGCCUGCUUCAGCUCCAGCCCAGAUGAGGCAAAGCUGUAGCAAUUGCCGGCUCUCCUGAGCCCCACACGGCUUGUAUCAUGGCUAGUGAACUUCAGAGAGAUGCAUAAGGGCCAGUGAAGUAUUUUCAGUUCUGAAGCCACAGCCUGUGCCAUGUGGGGGUUUUCACCCUGCACUGAGGUGAUUGUACACACAUGCUUGCCAAGGGCUCUUCCUAUUUUUUUAGCCCUAUGUUCAGCCAAUUUCCUCCAAGGAAAACCGUGGAUGGAACUAAAUGAGAUUUCACCCACUUGGUGCAAUUUGGUCAGAGGGUGGAAUGUCCAGCCAUCCAGGUUGACCCGGGGCAGGGCCUCAGUCUCACCUGUCCUGGGAAGGGCGUCCUCAUGAGGUCAAGGCUGGAGAAAAAGCACAUAUCCAGGAACUCUAGCCCUCUGCAAGGCCUCAACAAAUGGUGGCUCUUACUGGUGUUAGUAUCACAUAUGCACAGAUAAUUUUCAGAAUCCAGAAAGGGGAUGAAGUGUACAGAUCAGUAAGUAGCACCUCUCAGAGUCUAGCAAACACAUUGACAUUUAAGCAGUGAGAUGUAUGAAUAUUAAUACAAAAUAUGAUAAAUGAAGAAAAUUCAGUAUUUUAUAAACAGUUUCAUAUCAUCCAUUUUAGGUUUUAAUAGCAAAAGAAUUUAGAGCAGGCUUAUGAAAAAGCCUUUUGCUUGCCAGAGCUUUAUGGAUUAGGGUUUUGUGAAUAACAGAUCAUGGGUCUGUAUUGCCCUAGGCAUCAAUUUCCACACAGAUCAAAAAAGAGGCUUCCCGCCUUACAGAUUCCUGGUACUGAAAUAGCCUUCAAUUUUCAAACCUGUCAGUUUACCCAAGUCAGAACUCUCACUGCCUCCCUAUUGGCCCGGAGCCACUACACAUAUUUGGUUAUAACCCAUGGAUGGAAUCUAAGUCCCCAAACAGGCCAUAUCCUGUAGGACCUUCAGGACUGGAAACCUAUGGUCUCACGGCUCUUCUUCCUUCUCCCCAAGCUGGAGGCU